ACGGAAGGCAGCAGUCGGGAAUAUUGCGCAAUGGAGGAAACUCUGACGCAGUGACGCCGCGUGCAGGAAGAAGGUUUUCGGAUUGUAAACUGCUUUAGACAGGGAAGAAACAAGACAGUACCUGUAGAAUAAGCUCCGGCUAACUACGUGCCAGCAGCCGCGGUAAUACGUAGGGAGCGAGCGUUAUCCGGAUUUAUUGGGUGUAAAGGGUGCGUAGACGGGAAAUUAAGUUAGUUGUGAAAUCCCUCGGCUUAACUGAGGAACUGCAACUAAAACUGAUUUUCUUGAGUAUUGGAGAGGAAAGCGGAAUUCCUAGUGUAGCGGUGAAAUGCGUAGAUAUUAGGAGGAACACCAGUGGCGAAGGCGGCUUUCUGGACAAAAACUGACGUUGAGGCACGAAAGUGUGGGGAGCAAACAGGAUUAGAUACCCUGGUA
rnacentral:rRNA from 1 species